rnacentral:siRNA from 1 species
UCCUCAGUAGCUCAGUGGUAGAGC